rnacentral:rRNA from 1 species
GGCUGAGAGAUCAGCUGUUCCCUUCGGGGACAGAAUGACAGGUGGUGCAUGGUUGUCGUCAGCUCGUAUCGUGAGAUGUUGGCUUAAGUCCCGCAACGAGCGCAACCCUUAUGAUCAGUUGCCAGCAUUCAGUUGGGCACUCUGGUCAGACUGCCGGUGACAAACCGGAGGAAGGCGGGGAUGACGUCAAAUCAUCAUGCCCCUUAUGACCUGGGCUACACACGUGCUACAAUGGGUGGUACAACGAGCAGCGAGACCGCGAGGUCAAGCGAAUCUCUUAAAGCCGUUCUCAGUUCGGAUUGUAGGCUGCAACUCGCCUACAUGAAGUUGGAAUCGCUAGUAAUCGUGGAUCAGCAUGCCACGGUGAAUACGUUCCCGGGUCUUGUACACACCGA